rnacentral:rRNA from 1 species
UACGUAGGUGGCAAGCGUUGUCCGGAAUCACUGGGCGUAAAGCGCGCGCAGGCGGCGAUCUACGUCUGGGGUGAAAGCCCGGAGCUCAACUCCGGGACUGCCUUGGAUACGGGAUCGCUUGAGGAUUGGAGAGGCAAGGGGAAUUCCUGGUGUAGCGGUGAAAUGCGCAGAUAUCAGGAGGAACACCGGUGGCGAAGGCGGGUCUCUGGGCCGAUACUGACGCUGAGGAGCGAAAGCGUGGGGAGCGAACAGG